rnacentral:rRNA from 1 species
GUGUCGUGAGAUGUUGGGUUAAGUCCCGCAACGAGCGCAACCCUUAAGCUUAGUUGCCAUCAUUAAGUUGGGCACUCUAAGUUGACUGCCGGUGACAAACCGGAGGAAGGUGGGGAUGACGUCAAAUCAUCAUGCCCCUUAUGAUUUGGGCUACACACGUGCUACAAUGGACAAUACAAAGGGUAGCGAAACCGCGAGGUCAAGCAAAUCCCAUAAAGUUGUUCUCAGUUCGGAUUGUAGUCUGCAACUCGACUACAUGAAGCUGGAAUCGCUAGUAAUCGUAGAUCAGCAUGCUACGGUGAAUACGUUCCCGGGUCUUG